AUAACUGCUUCAUCUUGCGUAGUGCGAUCAAUUUUCCAAAGCGCUUUGUUUUUCGUUUCCUUCUCUUACUGCUAUAAGCCAGGAAGACUGAAGAAAACGUACUGUUUAAUCCAUUUUACAAAUGGGAAAGCUGAACUGAAUCCAUCACAUGAGAUGCUGAUGGGGGUACCUGCCUUCUAGGGUUGUUGUGAAGAUUAAAUGUGAUGGCGGAUAUGAAAAGAUGCUGUGCACACGGGUAAGUGUGAGGUGAUCCCAGUUACAGCAAGGAGGAUGAAGACAGAGCAUGAGCUUCCCUGAAUGUCUCCAGGUUCCCGCAAGCGAGAUGAGUGUGUUUUACUCCUGCGGGAUGGCGACCAAGUCCACACAGCUGGUCAUAAGGGUCCAGAAAUGAAUAUCUGCUUCUCUCUCCCCCAGGCAGAAGCUCUGGGUGUCAGCUGGAGGAGGAGGUGGCAUAGGGCAGACUGGGCAACCAUCUGCCAGCCCCCUCCCCUCGGUGCCUUUCAGCAUUCCAGCCACAUUGGCACUGCCACUGCCAGGGACAGAUAAGGUGCAGCUGGAGGCUGACACCAGCUGCAACUGUGCUCAGUCCCUCCAAACCCCACAAGACACCAGCAGACAGCUGCACCCCCGGGGGGCCCCUUCAUGGAACCUCUGCCCUGCCUUGGACUGACUGGCCUUGAGGUGCGGGGUGGGGGGGGAGAGUGGAGCCUUGGACCCUGUUUCCCCACCAGGAAGGAAAAGCGGUGGCCAGGGAGGACGGGGCCUUCUGUGUAGGUCUCUGGUUGCUCUUUUGGUAGUUCAGGAGAAAGCUCUGAGGCCUCACCAACUGGGGUGCUGGGGGGAUGCUCUCCCCAUUGCCCUCUGCCUCUUCAGUUGCAAAGUUUUCAACCAAUUCCUCCCAGAUUUAGCCUAUUUCCCCCUAUUCACCCCCACUCUCGCAGGCUGACUUAGCCACAGCUGGGGGAUGCACCCACCAAACACCUUUGACCACCAGACUACCCUUGAAGUUGAGCUGGACUCAGAAGCACAUCGGGGGGUGCUUGUCACUGCAGACCCCCACCAGGAGGGUUGGGUCUGUGACAGACCAGAGUGUACCAUUCCAAUGUCCCCUCCAGAAGCACACACACAACCUCACACACACCUUCAAAGCACCCUCCCAUACAACCUCUCACAGGUUGGAAGAGGGUUGCCCUUGGAAACCUGUGUAAGACUUCCCACGUGCCUGUGCACACUGUAUUUUGCAAACACUCUGAGACAGGGCUUUGACCCCCAGUUAAGAACCUCUGCUCAUGAGGUGGCAGAAAGUGCCAAGAUGGUCUCCCCUAAGCUCUGACCAGAUAGACAGAUGUUUUCUGUCAGUGCCACAUCUGUCCAGGGGCUAGACACACACCUUUUGGUGUAGCAGAGGAUGGCAAGGAUGGAGACCCAGGAGAGGAGAGAGAAGGUGGAGGGAGCAUCAGCCACGGGGUGUCUGCACCCCGUAGGACCAGGGAGCUGGAGGGGCGUGCCAGAGCCCUUCUUUUCCACUAGGGAGAUGUCAGACGUGGACUCACAGCCAAACUCCCAUCCAUGCGUGUAGGAACAUCCCUAAGGGCAGAAGUGGUAGAGUUCCUGACAUGGAAAGGGUCUGGUCAAUCAGAGAGGGUAGAAGGAGGGGCAGAGACGUUUGGUUCCAGCCAGAUUUGGGGUCAGGUGUUUGACAUGGGCUCAGACACAGCAAAAACCUGUCUUCUCUGCCAACCCAUAACCAAGAAGUGCCAGUGUGGGCCGGUAGGUUCCUAGCCUGUAUAUCUUUUACCCCAGCAAGAGGAAGAACUCAGAUUUGCUCCAGAACUUUCUGAACCAAUCAUAUUUCCAUCUAACUGCUUAGAAUUGUCCCCUCAGACAACACAGACCAGUCAGUCACAUUUCAGUAUCUCCAUUUCCAUGAACCACUUGGAAUCUUCGCAUCACCACUUGGAAUCUUUCUGGACACGAGGGACAAAUGGAGCAACUGAACAUUUUCUAUGGACGAACUACAUCCCCAUUUUAUACUUUAGCACCUUCCCAGCUUGAGCCAAGCAAUUCCUUCCCUUCUCCAAACACUACAAACCAUCAAACACUACAAACCAAGUUCAUAAGUUUUCUCUGUCUUUCUUGGUGGCUCCUUCUGCUUGUACGUUGGGUAGGUUGGAGAGGAGGGCUCUGGCUUUCAGUGCCACCUUUACCUACAGUUCUACUACUCGUGGGAGCACAGCUGGUGAGUCUGGGAACCCUUUGGUCUCAGGUUCUGGGGAAUCCAGGACUCUCCUGUUUUGAGGAAGGAAAAACGGGAAGAAAGUGGUCCUUGCAUCACACUAAGUUCCCCAUCAGCUUGGCUCAGCAAGACGUGUGUUCAUGUAACCUUUGUCUGGUAGAUUUGACAAAGGCCCAUGAAACUGGUCCACAUAGCAGGACUUAAAAAGAUUAGGAAGUCUUAUUUAUGUAAACUGAGUAGGAAAAAACAUGCAUGACCAUGGCUCCAACCUUUCUACACAAACAAAUACAGUUCAUGCUCCCGUAUGCUAGGAGGAAGCACGCAAGUAGGGGAGAAAAUGGGCAGGGAGAAAAGGGAGGCUCUGAGAGUGGGGAAUUGAGGGCAAGCAUGGAGAGCAAGGAGGUCCUAGGGGAGACGGGGUUUUCAAAGAGCAAUAGCCAGAAUUGGAAGGGGACACGAUGACUCCAGGGUCAGCAGUAUUAAUGAAAAGAGCACACUGCAUUGGGACUUAACGAGACAUGUUCUAAUCCUGAAUCUGUCACUAACUGGUUAUGUGAGCUCAGGGCAACUCUUUCUCCUCUCUGUGUCUCAGUCAGUGUAUUUGUAAAAUAGAGACAGCAUGGCUAUUUAUCCAGGGGAUUGAAAGGGAGGCUAGAAAGCAUUCUGAAGAGUUACGAGCAUUGUCCUCUCAUUUGGUAUUAUUUUUUAUACAUGGCUCCAGGUCCUCUGGUCCCUUUGUAGCCUCUGUGUGAUUCUAACCCCUCAGGAACCUGUAUGAUUUGCCCAGAAUCACCUGGAGCAUGAGGUGCCAGUCAGCUUCCCUAACCCUUUCUGAGGUUCUGGCUUUGAGACAGCCCCAUCUGUGGGGGUGGUGUCUGUGGGGCAUCUCCAUUUUAAGAAGUAAAGGGAGCCUCCAGUUCAGUCAAGAUUGUGCACCCCAGAUCCUUCUCCUUCCUCAGAUCCUGGCUCUGUGGCUCUUGCUGGCAAGGGGGUAACCCAACUGGACAGUGUAUGUGUGUGCGCGUGCGGCACAGAGAAUCACCUGUCUAGCUAUUUAAGAGAAAGCGUCCCUUCUCAUAUUUCACAGUGCUUCUCAAACUUUAAUUUGAAUCACCUAGAGAUUUGUUAAAAUGCAGAUUCUGAUUCAGUAGGUGGAGUGGUGACGUCUGCAUUUCUUUCAAGCUCCCAGGUGAUGGUCCUCAGAUCUCAUUUGAGUAACAAGUCUGCCACUUACCCACCACCACCCCCAGGUCUGACACCUGUGGCCCAGAAGGUAGC